CGCAAGCGCAAAUAAAGCUCAGUCUUGUAUGUGCAGAAAGGUUUUAAGCAAACCAAAAAUACCGGAUCUUGAGGACUUGCAGUGAACGCAAAGAUAUAGCAAAAUCAAACACCACUCACGAAUGUCGCAUCGUUAAAAUUGAAGAGGAUUAGAGUUCAACAUGGCGACGAGAACACACCAAAUGUAAAGCCUAGACCACAGAAGGGAAUUUCAAUAAAAUCCUAGAAAUUUUCCUUGUGUUUGAAAAAUAGACUAGACCUGAAUUUGCCACCAUUUCAAGUACGUGUGUCUUGGAAGCAAUUGUGAAUGUUGUAUGCUUUUAGUAUACCGAGGAGGCACCUGCCAAGAAAAUAAAGCACAAAGUGAUUAACAUGUUCAGUUUUGUAACUUCACAGAAGGUGUCAAAGUCAAAUGUGCUGAAUAUGCUCAUAUUUUUGCACAAAUGAAAGAGAAAAGAAGGUGAAGUCCCUGGAGUUGCAGGUCUAUGCUAAGAACUUAAGGUCCAUGGAAAAGAUGGAAAAUGUCGAGCUCAUCUUGGAACAAGGACAGUAAACAAGGACUUUCAUUUAGGAUAUUCAUAGAAGAAUAAUGGCCAAUUUUUUUGGAAAGGACAUGCCUGAAUCGUGAAUAGAAGUUUUACAAGUAAA